CACGCCACCCCCAGCCUGCCCGGCCCGGCCGAAGCCCGAACACGAGAGAGCCUGUGUGUGUGCUUUAGAUUCUGUACAGAACUCAGAUAAAUGUGGAACCCAUCUCUCCUCCAGCCGGUUGCGGGGUCACGGUGCGCCCUCUGGUGGCCCGUCUCUUUCAAUGGCUUCACCCACCGAGAGGAGCAAACUUGAAGGAACUAUCCCCUGGCUUGCCUAAUCCCAGAGUCAAGCCUCUGUCAUCCAGCCCCCACCCCCCACAAAAGGACACUGAAAAUAAUUACAAGUCUUCUGAAGUUUCCCGAUUCAGCCUCCAAAGGAACUUCGACACAAAUGUCAUCAACUGUUUUCAGGAUUUAUACGUUUGGGGGAAAUUUUUCUUCUUGGGUGAAGAGGAAGGAGGGAAGAAGGAAGGCUGAACAGCAUUUCUCAGACUUCCAGAAGUAGGAUGGAGACUCCCCACCCUUGAGGCUUCCUUUUUCUCUAGAAAAACAAUGCUCCUGGUGUUUCCCAGGAGAGCCCAGAGCCUAGCCCCAAGCGGAGAGACGUCAGUGAUCCCACCCUCCAUUUUGCUGGCGGGAGUCACUGGAGCUUAAAGAAGAGGAAGUAAAUGAAUUCAUGCAUACAUCCUGAUAACCUGUAGCCGCAGGUCGAAUUUCGCUAAGGUCUGUUAAAAAUGGCCGAAGAUUCUUCUCUUAGACGAAAAUCCGAGCAGCCAUUUUGUCUCAAGGAAGCUUCCCCGGGCCCAGUGCACACAGCUGGGUAUGUCUUGGUUGUAUAUGGCAUUUCCUUCAAAUAAGCAGGCCUGUCUGGAAGAGGUCAAAGGCCAGAAGGAAGGGAAGUGCUUUGCGGUGAAGUAGAAACAGACAUUGCCUUUCAGGCCCAGCAGAUACUUGCCCUCAGGCUCCACAGCGAAAGCCUGGAAAUCCCGGUGCAGCAGCUUGGAAGGCCCACGUGUUGCAUAUUUGAGCAUUUUUAUGCGCGUAUCAACACUUGUCCUUCUGUUUGUGGAG
rnacentral:lncRNA from 1 species